GUACACACCGCCCGUCACACCAUGGGAGUGGGUUUCACCAGAAGUCGGUAGCCUAACCGCAAGGAGGGCGCUUACCACGGUGGGAUUCAUGACUGGGGUGAAGUCGUAACAAGGUAGCCGUAGGUGAACCUGCAGAAGGAUCA
rnacentral:rRNA from 1 species